rnacentral:rRNA from 1 species
UACGGGGGGGGCAAGCGUUGUUCGGAAUUACUGGGCGUAAAGGGCUCGUAGGCGGCCAACUAAGUCAGACGUGAAAUCCCUCGGCUUAACCGGGGUACUGCGUCUGAUACUGGAUGGCUUGAGUUUGGGAGAGGGAUGCGGAAUUCCAGGUGUAGCGGUGAAAUGCGUAGAUAUCUGGAGGAACACCGGUGGCGAAGGCGGCAUCCUGGACCAACACUGACGCUGAGUGAGCGAAAGCCAGGGGAGCAAACGGG